ACCUGAUGAGCACCGAGGG
rnacentral:misc_RNA from 1 species